UUAAGCGACUAAGCGUACACGGUGGAUGCCCUGGCAGUCAGAGGCGAUGAAGGACGUGCUAAUCUGCGAAAAGCGUCGGUAAGGUGAUAUGAACCGUUAUAACCGGCGAUGUCCGAAUGGGGAAACCCAGUGUGAUUCGUCACACUAUCGUUAACUGAAUACAUAGGUUAACGAGGCGAACCGGGGGAACUGAAACAUCUAAGUACCCCGAGGAAAAGAAAUCAACCGAGAUUCCCCCAGUAGCGGCGAGCGAACGGGGAGCAGCCCAGAGUCUGAAUCAGCUUGUGUGUUAGUGGAACGGUCUGGAAAGUCCGACGGUACAGGGUGAUAGUCCCGUACACCAAAAUGCACAGGCUGUGAACUCGAAGAGUAGGGCGGGACACGUGGUAUCCUGUCUGAAUAUGGGGGGACCAUCCUCCAAGGCUAAAUACUCCUGACUGACCGAUAGUGAACCAGUACCGUGAGGGAAAGGCGAAAAGAACCCCGGCGAGGGGAGUGAAAAAGAACCUGAAACCGUGUACGUACAAGCAGUGGGAGCACCUUUAUGGUGUGACUGCGUACCUUUUGUAUAAUGGGUCAGCGACUUAUAUUCUGUAGCAAGGUUAACCGUAUAGGGGAGCCGCAGGGAAACCGAGUCUUAACUGGGCGUUAAGUUGCAGGGUAUAGACCCGAAACCCGGUGAUCUAGCCAUGGGCAGGUUGAAGGUUGGGUAACACUAACUGGAGGACCGAACCGACUAAUGUUGAAAAAUUAGCGGAUGACUUGUGGCUGGGGGUGAAAGGCCAAUCAAACCGGGAGAUAGCUGGUUCUCCCCGAAAGCUAUUUAGGUAGCGCCUCGUGAACUCAUCUUCGGGGUAGAGCACUGUUUCGGCUAGGGGGUCAUCCCGACUUACCAACCCGAUGCAAACUACGAAUACCGAAGAAUGUUAUCACGGGAGACACACGGCGGGUGCUAACGUCCGUCGUGAAGAGGGAAACAACCCAGACCGCCAGCUAAGGUCCCAAAGUCAUGGUUAAGUGGGAAACGAUGUGGGAAGGCACAGACAGCCAGGAUGUUGGCUUAGAAGCAGCCAUCAUUUAAAGAAAGCGUAAUAGCUCACUGGUCGAGUCGGCCUGCGCGGAAGAUGUAACGGGGCUAAACCAUGCACCGAAGCUGCGGCAGCGACACGAUGUGUUGUUGGGUAGGGGAGCGUUCUGUAAGCCUGCGAAGGUGGCCUGUGAGGGUUGCUGGAGGUAUCAGAAGUGCGAAUGCUGACAUAAGUAACGAUAAAGCGGGUGAAAAGCCCGCUCGCCGGAAGACCAAGGGUUCCUGUCCAACGUUAAUCGGGGCAGGGUGAGUCGACCCCUAAGGCGAGGCCGAAAGGCGUAGUCGAUGGGAAACAGGUUAAUAUUCCUGUACUUGGUGUUACUGCGAAGGGGGACGGAGAAGGCUAUGUUAGCCGGGCGACGGUUGUCCCGGUUUAAGCAUGUAGGCUGGUUAUCCAGGCAAAUCCGGAUAAUCAAGGCUGAGGUGUGAUGACGAGGCACUACGGUGCUGAAGUAACAAAUGCCCUGCUUCCAGGAAAAGCCUCUAAGCAUCAGGUAACAUCAAAUCGUACCCCAAACCGACACAGGUGGUCAGGUAGAGAAUACCAAGGCGCUUGAGAGAACUCGGGUGAAGGAACUAGGCAAAAUGGUGCCGUAACUUCGGGAGAAGGCACGCUGGUGUGUAGGUGAAGUCCCUGCGGAUGGAGCUGAGACCAGUCGAAGAUACCAGCUGGCUGCAACUGUUUAUUAAAAACACAGCACUGUGCAAACACGAAAGUGGACGUAUACGGUGUGACGCCUGCCCGGUGCCGGAAGGUUAAUUGAUGGGGUUAUCCGUAAGGAGAAGCUCUUGAUCGAAGCCCCGGUAAACGGCGGCCGUAACUAUAACGGUCCUAAGGUAGCGAAAUUCCUUGUCGGGUAAGUUCCGACCUGCACGAAUGGCGUAAUGAUGGCCAGGCUGUCUCCACCCGAGACUCAGUGAAAUUGAACUCGCUGUGAAGAUGCAGUGUACCCGCGGCAAGACGGAAAGACCCCGUGAACCUUUACUAUAGCUUGACACUGAACAUUGAGCCUUGAUGUGUAGGAUAGGUGGGAGGCUUUGAAGCGUGGACGCCAGUCUGCGUGGAGCCAACCUUGAAAUACCACCCUUUAAUGUUUGAUGUUCUAACGUUGGCCCCUUAUCGGGGUUGCGGACAGUGUCUGGUGGGUAGUUUGACUGGGGCGGUCUCCUCCCAAAGCGUAACGGAGGAGCACGAAGGUUAGCUAAUCCUGGUCGGACAUCAGGAGGUUAGUGCAAUGGCAUAAGCUAGCUUGACUGCGAGCGUGACGGCGCGAGCAGGUGCGAAAGCAGGUCAUAGUGAUCCGGUGGUUCUGAAUGGAAGGGCCAUCGCUCAACGGAUAAAAGGUACUCCGGGGAUAACAGGCUGAUACCGCCCAAGAGUUCAUAUCGACGGCGGUGUUUGGCACCUCGAUGUCGGCUCAUCACAUCCUGGGGCUGAAGUAGGUCCCAAGGGUAUGGCUGUUCGCCAUUUAAAGUGGUACGCGAGCUGGGUUUAGAACGUCGUGAGACAGUUCGGUCCCUAUCUGCCGUGGGCGCUGGAGAAUUGAGGGGGGCUGCUCCUAGUACGAGAGGACCGGAGUGGACGCAUCACUGGUGUUCGGGUUGUCAUGCCAAUGGCACUGCCCGGUAGCUAAAUGCGGAAGAGAUAAGUGCUGAAAGCAUCUAAGCACGAAACUUGCCCCGAGAUGAGUUCUCCCUGAGACUUUAAGUCUCCUGAAGGAACGUUAAAGACGAUGACGUUGAUAGGCCGGGUGUGUAAGCGCAGCGAUGCGUUGAGCUAACCGGUACUAAUGAACCGUGAGGCUUAACCU
rnacentral:rRNA from 1 species